AUGCCAGUUGAUAAUAAUAAGAAGAUCUGGAAGACGAAGAUACCUCUGAAGAAUAAAAUCUUUGCAUGGUAUCUUUGUCGCAGAGUCAUUCUUACUAAAGAUAACCUUAUUAAGAGGAAUUGGCAUGGAAGACGGCAAUGUGUGUUUUGUCAGCAUGAUGAGACAAUAAAACAUUCAUUCUUCCAUUGCAAAUUGGCUCGCUCUACAUGGUCAGUUAUCCAAAUAGCUUCUGCUUGUACCCUCCUUGUAGUGUUUCUAAUGUAUUUGGCAACUGGUUACAUGAUAUUGAUCACAGGUUUAGAACUCUUCUCAGGGUGGGAGCGUUUGCCAUUAUUUGGUCACUUUGGCUAUGUAGAAAUGAUAAGGUUUUUAACGAUAAAAGUACUUCUCUGA
rnacentral:rRNA from 1 species